ACUUGCGCAUUUACACACAGAGCAAACUAUUAUUUUGCCUUUUACUAAAGAAUACUGUGUGCCCACCGCAUAUAGCAGCACACACAAGUUUUUGGAAGAGCUUCUAUUCUCU